rnacentral:rRNA from 1 species
UACAGAGGGGGCGAGCGUUAUUCGGAAUUAUUGGGCGUAAAGGGCGCGUAGGCGGCUUGGCAAGUGGAAGGUGAAAUCCCUCGGCUUAACCGAGGAACUGCCCUCCAAACUGCUUCGCUUGAGACCGGGAGAGGUGAGUGGAAUUCCCAGUGUAGCGGUGAAAUGCGUAGAUAUUGGGAGGAACACCAGUGGCGAAGGCGGCUCACUGGACCGGUACUGACGCUGAUGCGCGAAAGCGUGGGGAGCAAACGGG